CCCUUAGACGUUCUGGGCCGCACGCGCGCUACACUGACCAGUGCAACAAGCAUCCGUCCUUGGCCGACAGGCUCGGGCAAUCUUUGAACGCUGGUCGUGAUGGGGAUAGACUUUUGCAAUUUUUGGUCUUCAACGAGGAAUUCCUAGUAAACGCAAGUCAUCAACUUGCAUUGAUUACGUCCCUGCCCUUUGUACACACCACCCGUCGCACCUACCGAUUGAAUGGUCCGGUGAAAUCUCGGGACGGCGGCUUGGUCGCUUGCGUCCGACUGCUGAAACUUGAUUAAACCAUAUCAUUUAGAGGAAGGUGAAGUCGUAACA
rnacentral:rRNA from 1 species